rnacentral:rRNA from 1 species
ACCCGAGGCGCACUGCUCAGUAACACGUGGAGAAUCUGCCCUUAGGUGAGGAAUAACCUCGGGAAACUGAGAAUAAUACUCCAUAAGUCUAGGAUACUGGAAUGUACUUAGGCUGAAAACUUCGGUGCCCUAGGAUGAGUCUGCGGACUAUCAGGUUGUAGUCAGGGUAAAGACCUGACUAGCCUACGACGGAUACGGGUUGUGAGAGCAAUAACCCGGAGAUGAUAUCUGAGACACGAUAUCAGGCCCUACGGGGCGCAGCAGGCGCGAAAACUUCACACUGCGCGAAAGCGCGAUGAGGGAAUCCCAAGUGCUUGCACGUAAGUGUAAGCUGUUUCUAUGUCUAAAAAGCAUGGAGAGUAAGAGCUGGGUAAGACGGGUGCCAGCCGCCGCGGUAAUACCUGCAGCUCAAGUGGUGGCCGUUAUUAUUGGGCCUAAAACGUCCGUAGCCGGUUUAUUAAAUGCCUGGGUAAAUCGGGCCGCUUAACGGUUCGAAUUCCGGGUAGACUGAUAGACUUGGGACCGGGAGAGGCUAGAGGUACUCCUGGGGUAGAGGUGAAAUUCUGUAAUC